rnacentral:sRNA from 1 species
GUUAAGCAGGUAUUUCCGGAAAGAAUCAAAUUCACA